UAUUCUUCCUUCUUCAUUUGAUAACUUAUUCAAACUCUGAUUAGUGUGCUCAACAACCGGGAUCACUAGAAUGUGGCUACCACGUCAUGCGUUUUAUGUACGACAUAAUAAUGAAUCAUGGUAAUAGUCAAGAUCUUACUAAGGAUUUUUCAAGAACAUUGCCUUAUUCACCGGAGGAGAUUAAUGAGGUGAAAGAUUUUUGGGCAGAUUACUUCAUGAACAAUGUCGACUUUUAGCUUAAUUUGUAAUAUGAACUCGAUCUCUAGCUAGA